GAUGAACGCUGGCGGCGUGCCUAAUACAUGCAAGUCGAGCGAACAGACGAGGAGCUUGCUCCUCUGACGUUAGCGGCGGACGUGUGAGUAACACGGGGAUAACCUACCUAUAAGACUGAUAUAACUUCGGGAAACCGGAUCUAAUACCGUAUAAUAUAUUGAACCGCAUGGUUCAAUAGUGAAAGACGGUUUUGCUGUCACUUCUAGAUGUAUCCGCGCCGCAUUAGCUAGUUGGUAAAGUAACGGCUUACCAAGUCAACGAUGCGUAGCCGACCUGAGAGGGUGAUCGGCCACACUGGAACUGAGACACGCACUAGACUCCUACGGGAGGCAGCAGUAGGGAAUCUUCCGCAAUGGGCGAAAGCCUGACGGAGCAACGAAGCGUGAGUGAUGAAGGCCUUCGGAUCGUAAAACUCUGUUAUUAGGGAAGCACAAAUGUGUAAGUAACUAUGCACGUCUUGACGGUACCUAAUCAGAAAGCAACGGCUAACUACGUG
rnacentral:rRNA from 1 species